rnacentral:rRNA from 1 species
GAUGAACGCUAGCUACAGGCUUAACACAUGCAAGUCGUGGGGCAUCAUGAUGUAGUAAUACAUUGAUGGCGACCGGCGCACGGGUGAGUAACGCGUAUCCAACCUACCCUCCACUCAAGUAUAGGCUUCCGAAAGGGAGAUUAAUCCUUGAUAUCGUCAUUCUCUCUCCUGUUAGAAUGAUAAAAGGACAUCGUUUCGGUAGAGGAUGGGGAUGCGUUCCAUUAGGUAGUAGGUGGUUUAACAGGCCACCUAGCCGAUGAUGGAUAGGGGUUCUGAGAGGAAUAUCCCCCACACUGGUACUGAGAUACGGACCAGACUCCUACGGGAGGCAGCAGUGAGGAAUAUUGGUCAAUGGGCGCAAGCCUGAACCAGCCAUGUAGCGUGAAGGAUGACGGUUUUUUUGAUUGUAAACUUCUUUUCUGUGCGAUUAAAGUGUGGCAUUUA